GUAAAAUAAUAAAUUUUGAAAUCAUGAGACCAGCAAAUAUAUUUACGACAAUGCAGGUUUCCUGGGAACAGCCUUUAUUACGAGAAAAGAACGGAAUCAUUAGAGACUAUAAAAUAAGCCAUAACAUCAGUGGGACAACAACAGUUGAAACUAUAACUGCAGAUUCUGAGAUGUUCCGAAAAUUAUAUUACAUUACACCAGAUAGAUAUUAUCAGAUCGAGCUGUAUGCAGUUAACACAAUAGAUCAAGCUGGAGAAAAAUUGCGGAAAAUAUAUUUUGCGUCAUCAAAAAGUAAUUCACAAUUGUCAGAUACAGGAUAUUCAAUUGGAACAGUAGUGG